AGAGUUUGAUCAUGGCUCAGGAUGAACGCUGGCGGCGUGCUUAACACAUGCAAGUCGAACGUGAUCCAGUAGCAAUAUUGGUGAAAGUGGCGGACGGGUGAGUAACACGUGGGUGACCUGCCGCAGAGUGGGGGAUAACGAGGGGAAACCUUCGCUAAUACCGCAUAGGCUUACACUGGUGGGAAUGGUGUGGGUAAAACUCUGGUGCUCUGCGAGGGGCCUGCGUCCGAUUAGCUAGUUGGUGAGGUAACGGCUCACCAAGGCGAUGAUCGGUAGCUGGUCUGAGAGGACGAUCAGCCACACGGGAACUGAGAAACGGUCCCGACUCCUACGGGGGGCAGCAGUGAGGAAUAUUGGGCAAUGGGCAAACGCCUGACCCAGCAACGCCGCGUGGAGGAUGAAGGUUUUUGGAUUGUAAACUCCUUUUGUGGGGGAAGAGUGAGGACGGUACCCCAAGAAUAAGUCACGGCUAACUACGUGCCAGCAGCCGCGGUAAUACGUAGGUGACGAGCGUUAUCCGGAAUUAUUGGGCGUAAAGCGCCCGCAGGCGGCUGUUCAAGUCUGACGUGAAAUCGCUCGGCUUAACUGGGCGGGGUCGUUGGAAACUGAAUAGCUUGAGGCAAGGAGAGGGGCGUGGAAUUCCCGGUGUAGUGGUGGAAUGCGUAGAUAUCGGGAGGAACAUCAGUGGCGCAAGCGGCGCCCUGGCCUUAGCCUGACGCUCAGGGGCGAAAGCGUGGGGAGCGAACGGGAUUAGAUACCCCGGUAGUCCACGCCGUAAACGAUGAACACUAGGUGUGGGU
rnacentral:rRNA from 1 species